rnacentral:rRNA from 1 species
CGCAGGCGGUCUGUUAAGCUAGAUGUGAAAGCCCCGCGCUCAACGUGGGAGGGUCAUUAGAACUGGCAGACUAGAGUCUUGGAGAGGGGAGUGGAAUUCCAGGUGUAGCGGUGAAAUGCGUAGAGAUCUGGAGGAACAUCAAUGGCGAAGGCAACUCCCUGGCCAAAGACUGACGCUCAUGUGCGAAAGUGUGGGUAGCGAACAGGAUUAGAUACCCUGGUAGUCCACACCGUAAACGCUGUCUACUAGCUGUUUGUGGAUUUAAUCCGUGAGUAGCGAAGCUAACGCGAUAAGUAGACCGCCUGGGGAGUACGGCCGCAAGGUUAAAACUCAAAUGAAUUGACGGGGGCCCGCACAAGCGGUGGAGCAUGUGGUUUAAUUCGAAGCAACGCGCAGAACCUUACCAACCCUUGACAUCCUCAUCGAGAUUUCUGGAGACAGAUUUCGUCAGUUCGGCUGGAUGAGUGACAGGUGCUGCAUGGCU